GCAAGUCGAACGCGAAAGUCACUUCGGUGGCGAGUAGAGUGGCGGACGGGUGAGUAACGCGUAGGAAUCUGCCUAGUAGUGGGGGACAACUCGGGGAAACUCGAGCUAAUACCGCAUACGCCCUACGGGGGAAAGUGGGGGAUCUUCGGACCUCACGCUAUUGGAUGAGCCUGCGUCGGAUUAGCUAGUUGGUGAGGUAAUGGCUCACCAAGGCGACGAUCCCUAGCUGGUCUGAGAGGAUGAUC
rnacentral:rRNA from 1 species